rnacentral:rRNA from 1 species
CCUACGGGAGGCAGCAGUGGGGGAUAUUGCACAAUGGGGGAAACCCUGAUGCAGCGACGCCGCGUGGGUGAAGAAGCGCCUCGGCGCGUAAAGCCCUGUCAGCAGGGAAGAAAAUGACGGUACCUGAAGAAGAAGCCCCGGCUAACUACGUGCCAACAGCCGCGGUAAUACGUAGGGGGACAGCGUUAUCCGGAUUUACUGGGUGUAAAGGGGGCGCAGACGGCGAUGCAAGCCAGGAGUGAAAGCCCGGGGCCCCACCCCGGGACUGCUCUUGGAACUGCGUGGCUAGAGUGCAGGAGGGGCAGGCGGAAUUCCUGGUGUAGCGGUGAAAUGCGUAGAUAUCAGGAGGAACACCGGUGGCGAAGGCGGCCUGCUGGACUGCAACUGACGUUGAGGCCCGAAAGCGUGGGGAGCAAACAGGAUUAGAUACCCUUGUAGUC